GUGUCAGCAGCCGCGGUAAUACGGAAGGUCCGGGCGUUAUCCGGAUUUAUUGGGUUUAAAGGGAGCGCAGGCGGAGAUGCAAGCGUGACGUCAAAUUUCGGGGCUCAACCCCGUCUCGCGUCGCGAACUGCGUCCCUUGGUUGCGGGAAGGGGAGGCGGAACUCGUGGUGUAGCGGUGAAAUGCAUAGAUAUCACGAAGAACUCCGAUCGCGAAGGCAGCCUCCCGGCCCGUCAACGACGCUCAUGCUCGAAGGUGCGGGUAUCAAACAGGAUUAGAUACCCUGGUAGUCCGCACAGUAAACGAUGGACACCCGCGGUUUGGCCUGUAUGGCUGAGCCGCCAAGCGAAAGCGUUAAGUGUCCCACCUGGGGAGUACGCCGGCAACGGUGAA
rnacentral:rRNA from 1 species